ACAGGUGGCAGCCAGGCUGCCCACAGGGCCCGGGCGUGGGGGCCCCUGUGCCUUGGGCAGCUGGGCCCCUUGCUGAGGCGUGCUUGCGCGUGUCCGUUGUCGCCCUCACCCAGCUGCUGCGGCGGAGAAACGGAGGCCAGCGCGGGGAGCGGAAGCCGGAGCCUGUCGGGAGCGACCCCGGGAAGGCCAGUCCCUCCUGCCGGAGGGAGGCGUGUUGGCGUGCGCCGGUGGCGGGAUCGAUGGCCACCUGGUAGGCGAUGGUAAGCGGCAGUGGCCUGCGCCAAGGUAGCCCCCGGGGGGCGGUGUGUGGCGCCCGGACCCGCAUGCUCCCGGGGGUGGAGCUGACCUGCUUGCCCGCGGUUGGGCUCGGGAGCCUGCGGGCCGCGGCCAGGAGGGAGCUGGCUGGCCGUCCGGCGGUGGGGGCUGUGGCGGUGGCCGUCCCGCGGGUGUGCCCGUGCUCGGAUCGAUGAUGACACCCACAAACGCAUUCCUUGGAAAAUCUGAACAAAAUGAGUGAGAACUCACUACCGUCUCCUCAUCGCAAACUGAGGUCCGGCACGUGGCUCCCACAGGGGACGUCGGGGGAGGGUCCCGUUGCCUUGGCUCCCUUGGCUGCUGCGGCGGAGAAACGGAGGCCAGCGCGGGGAGCGGAAGCCGGAGCCUGUCGGGCGACCCGGGAAGGCCAGUCCCUCCUGCCGGGGGCGUGUUGGCGUGCGGCCGGUGGCGGGAUCGAUGGCCACCUGGUAGGCGAUGCUGCUGCGGCGGAGAGACGGAGGCCAGCGCGGGGAGCGGAAGCCGGAGCCUGUCGGGAGCGACCCCGGGAAGGCCAGUCCCUCCUGCCGGAGGGAGGCGUGUUGGCGUGCGGCCGGUGGCGGGAUCGAUGGCCACCUGGUAGGCGAUGGUAAGCGGCAGUGGCCUGCGCCAAGGUAGCCCCCGGGGGGCGGUGUGUGGCGCCCGGACCCGCACCCUCUGCUCCCGGGGGUGGAGCUGACCUGCUUGCCCGCGGUUGGGCUCGGGAGCCUGCGGGCCGCGGCCAGGAGGGAGCUGGCUGGCCGUCCCGGCGGUGGGGGCUGUGGCGGUGGCCGUCCCGCGGGUGUGCCCGUGCUCGGAUCGAUGAUGACACCCACAAACGCAUUCCUUGGAAAAUCUGAACAAAAUGAGUGAGAACUCACUACCGUCUCCUCAUCGCAAACUGAGGUCCGGCACGUGGCUCCCACAGGGGACGUCGGGGGAGGGUCCCGUUGCCUUGGCUCCCUUGGGUGCGUGCAGCCCUGGGGCGCAGGUGGGGGCAGGCAGGCCUCCGGUGGCCCCGGAGGGCCAUGGGGAGAGGAGCCUUGGGGCUGGCCUCCUCGAGGGCAGCCCCGGGGCCCCGGGGCCCCGGUGCCCGGCGGGAAAGCCUUGGGAGUGGCAGGCCCAGUGUGGGGUGGGCUGCCUGCGGUGUGUGUGAGCGCCGCUGGGCUCUCAGGCCUGCGGCUGCCUCCUUGAGGCCUCCGCGGGGUCCUGCCCGCGGUGUCGGGCGCAGAGGGUGUCUGUAGGUUGCGGGUGAGCAGCGGGGGCCUUGGCCUCGGCGGGACUGCCGACCCAGGUUCUGGUGGGGAGAGAGGAGGCCGGCCGGGGGGCCUUGCCGAGAUGGCCGUUUGGGCGGGGUCGGACGCCUUGGCCUGGGCCUUCACGGGGUCGGCGGGGCUGCCAGUGCCUUUCCCUCGCAGAGUCCUUGGUGGUCAUCGAGAACCCUGGAGCCCCUGCGGCAUUUCCCAGAGACGUGGAGGCGGUGGGGCGCCAGGUGGCCCUGGGCGGUGCCGAGUCGGCCGCGGACUGGGGUCGAGAGAAGUGCAGGAGGGCCAGAGGUCCUGGGCCAGUGUGCGCAGAGCACCGUGAGGGGGAGUGUUGGGUGCCCGGGGCGGC
ensembl:lncRNA